rnacentral:rRNA from 1 species
GACGAACGCUGGCGGCGUGCUUAACACAUGCAAGUCGAACGGAAAGGCCCUGCUUUUGUGGGGUGCUUGAGUGGCGAACGGGUGAGUAACACGUGAGUAACCUGCCCUUGACUUUGGGAUAACUUCAGGAAACUGGGGCUAAUACCGGAUAGGAGCUCCUGCUGCAUGGUGGGGGUUGGAAAGUUUCGGCGGUUGGGGAUGGACUCGCGGCCUAUCAGCUUGUUGGUGGGGUAGUGGCUUACCAAGGCUUUGACGGGUAGCCGGCCUGAGAGGGUGGCCGGCCACAUUGGGACUGAGAUACGGCCCAGACUCCUACGGGAGGCAGCAGUGGGGAAUAUUGCACAAUGGGCGGAAGCCUGAUGCAGCAACGCCGCGUGCGGGAUGACGGCCUUCGGGUUGUAAACCGCUUUCGCCUGUGACGAAGCGUGAGUGACGGUAAUGGGUAAAGAAGCACCGGCUAACUACGUGCCGGCAGCCGCGGUGAUACGUAGGGUGCGAGCGUUGUCCGGAUUUAUUGGGCGUAAAGGGCUCGUAGGUGGUUGAUCGCGUCGGAAGUGUAAUCUUGGGGCUUAACCCUGAGCGUGCUUUCGAUACGGGUUGACUUGAGGAAGGUAGGGGAGAAUGGAAUUCCUGGUGGAGCGGUGGAAUGCGCAGAUAUCAGGAGGAACACCAGUGGCGAAGGCGGUUCUCUGGGCCUUUCCUGACGCUGAGGAGCGAAAGCGUGGGGAGCGAACAGGCUUAGAUACCCUGGUAGUCCACGCUGUAAACGGUGGGUACUAGGUGUGGGGUCCAUUCCACGGGUUCCGUGCCGUAGCUAACGCUUUAAGUACCCCGCCUGGGGAGUACGGCCGCAAGGCUAAAACUCAAAGGAAUUGACGGGGCCCCGCACAAGCGGCGGAGCAUGCGGAUUAAUUCGAUGCAACGCGUAGAACCUUACCUGGGUUUGACAUGGAUCGGGAGUGCUCAGAGAUGGGUGUGCCUCUUUUGGGGUCGGUUCACAGGUGGUGCAUGGCUGUCGUCAGCUCGUGUCGUGAGAUGUUGGGUUAAGUCCCGCAACGAGCGCAACCCUUGUUCACUGUUGCCAGCACGUUAUGGUGGGGACUCAGUGGAGACCGCCGGGGUCAACUCGGAGGAAGGUGGGGAUGACGUCAAGUCAUCAUGCCCCUUAUGUCCAGGGCUUCACGCAUGCUACAAUGGCUGGUACAGAGAGUGGCGAGCCUGUGAGGGUGAGCGAAUCUCGGAAAGCCGGUCUCAGUUCGGAUUGGGGUCUGCAACUCGACCUCAUGAAGUCGGAGUCGCUAGUAAUCGCGGAUCAGCAACGCUGCGGUGAAUAAGUUCCCGGGGCU